rnacentral:lncRNA from 1 species
CUCUUUUUGCCUGCUACCAUGCAUGUAAGAGGUGACUUGCUCCUCCUUGCCUUCUGCCAUGAUUGUGAGGCUUCCCCAGCCAUGUGGGACUGUAAGUCCAUUAAACCUCUUUCUUUUGUAAAUUGCCCAGUCUUGGGUAUGUCUUUAUCAGCAGUGUGAAAACAGACUAAUACAAGUGCAUUACUUCUAUGAGUAAGUAAGGAGGAAGCAGAUUGCCCCAACAAGAUGCCUCUUUUGUUCAAACCAGAGCUUGUUUAUCACAGAGAAAGAUGGCAAUAAUGUCCUGAGAAAUACGAAUGACCAAGGAACGCUAUCAUACUGUUUUGUGUGUGUGUGUGUGUGUGUGUGUGUGACUUCCCUGGAUGUGUGGAAGUUGACUUCCCUGGAUUAGCCAACCAUUUAUACUGAAAAUUAUGACACUGGUGGAAAAAGACAGGGCAGACUGUAUUUUCUUUUCCUUUCAGUCAUUUCUUAUCAGCAAGCAAAGGUAGGCAGAGUUGGUAGAAUGCGUGAGCAUCAUGAUGUGCAAUAAAAACAGUUAAAUUCGUUUUGUGUAAGUUUCCACUAUUCUUGUAAGAAUGAAAUACACAUGAAUGUAUAAGCUAUGAGAUACAAAUUGUGUAAUUUUGGUGAUUCUAUAUAAAAAUUAGAUGCUCUUAUAUUUGCAUCUAAACCUGGCAUAGUACAAUAUAAAAAUGAAUGGUAAAAUUAUGCUAAUUAUUUAAAAUUUUAACCUUUCUCUACUCAGAAUGACAAAGCAAGUAAAAAUCACCAUAGGAAGUCAAGAAAAAGACACCAACAGAAGAAAGAAAAAACCCUUUAAGGGAACUUCUUCCUGCUUUUUGAACUAGGGACUUCACAUAUUUCUUUUGCAUUGGGCCCCACAAAUAACAGGCCACAAUGAUGCUAUGUUGCUUCCAAGACUAGAUUAUAAAAAUAAUACUCUGGCAUCCACCUCUUCUCCCCCUCCCCCCACGUCCAUUCUCUACCUACCAUCUCUUUCUUAGGGGUUGGGGGAAGGGAGGGAAUUUCAGCCAUUUUGUCAAGACACCUUGGCCAACAACCACCAAGAGCCUGAGUAUUGCCAGCAGACGCAUGAGUGAGCUUGCAAGUGGAUCUUCCCCCUGCUGAGCCUUGAGAGAACUGCAGCCCUGGCUGACAUCUUGAUUGCAGUUGUAGGAGGAACCCUAAGUCAGAAGCACAGCUAAGCCACACCCAGAUUCCCAACCCACAUAAACUCUGAGGUAUAAACAUUGUUGUUUUAAGCUGCUAAAUUGUAGGAUGAUUUGUAAUGCAGCAAUAGAAAAGGAAUACAUUGAGAUUCAGUGGAAUGACAGCUUCCUCCCAAGGACUGAGGAAGAGUCCUCUGACCUAAAUCUUUUAGGAUGAGCAUUUCGUGAUGGAGGAAGUGGCAUCACAGGUAGAAGAUGCUACGUAAUCUAGGCCAGGACAACAUUUCCCAAACCACUUUCUCACAGAACCCCAUCAUAAUCUUAAAAAUUAUUGGAAGACCCCAAAGAGCUUUUAUUUAUGCAUUCUAUACAUAUUGAUAUUUAUCAUAUUAGAAAAUGCAAUUGAGGCAUUUAAAAUUUGUAUUUAUCGAUGGAUUUAGAAACAAUAACAUACCCAUUGCAUGUUGAGAUAGAUAACAUUUUUAAAAAAAUGAAUAUGCUUUCUAAAAAUAAAUUCAGUGAGAAGAAUGGCACUGUGUACAUUUUUGAAAACCCCUUUAAUCCUUGGCUUAAUACAACAAAGCUGGAUUCUAUACCUGCUUCUUCAUUGAAUCUGUUGAAGAGCACAUAUCAAGUAGCCUCUGGAAAACUCCACUGUGCAUUUGUGUAAGAAUGAGAAUAAAAAAGGCAAAUAAUAUCUUAGUCGCUGGACCACACAUUGAGACAAACCGAUCUAGGGCAUGGAGAUGAGAGAGUCCAGAGCACAUACUGACUAAACCAUGUUGAAGAAGGAAAAAUAAGGUUAUUCUCAGAAGGCUUGCAUAUCAUAGUCAAUAGUUUAUUCAGUAGAGGAUUUGGCAGACAUUAUUUGCUGCCCAUCCAAAAGCCAUUUCUGCUCCCUUUCUUCCUUGCUAAAGAAUCCUUGAAUCUGUUCAGAUAUUAGAAGGUCAUGAGUUGAGGGAAAGCAUGUUGAUUGGUGUUCCCUUUCCCAUGAUUGCUAUAAGCACACAUAUGUGACACAACCAUGGUGAUGAAAAGAAAUCAGCUGUGGUUGGUGGUGAUAGCAAAGUGUAAGCUUUCAUUGAUACAGAGGCUUACUCAUUUCUGCCUUUGGUUAUUGUGCUGCUUCUGCUUGCUGUAGCCUUCCUGUUUCAAUGAUGAGAAGGCCAAAGGAAUCUGUGAGCUGACCCAGAGCCCGCAUGUUGUUGACAAGCCACAGAGUUGCCCAACCUCUUUUAUUGUUAUUUUGAUUCAGGGAAUUCCUGAAGAUUCUGAAAUUGUGAACUGACAAGCCCAUGGAUGUCUACAAAGAGUGAACUGAUCACUGUGGGCUGGCCUUUGAGGCAUCAGUGAGGCAUUGUGGCUCUGGAGACCUGGAAGCACUGCUAACUGUUCUCUCGAUUUUCUGACGCUCGGCCACAUCAACCUGUCAUACUAGUUGUGAGGAGAAGUCAAGGACAGUGACACAGCCAGCCAGUCUGAGGCAUUUUCCAUCAUCCUGAAGGAGUUGCCCUAUCCUGCUUUUCACUGGAGGGGGCAUGGAUGGGGGCUCCUGACACACUGACCUCUGUCAGUUCCUUCAGCACACCAGGCUAAUCCCCAGUCUUGCGCCUUUGGACCAGAGGUUUUCUUUGCUCAGAAUACUGUUUCAACAGAUCUUUGCAUAGCUGGCUCUCGCUAUUUGACUAAAAUGUCAAUCCUCAGAGAGGUACUCCUUAAAUAUCCAAUCUUAAGUAGCAUCCCUUUCUCCCAGGAUCCUGUUUUUCAGAACUCUGUUUUCUUUUUAAAACACUUGUUAUCUGAAAGGAUGUCGUCUGCUUGCUUGUUUGUUCAUUUCUUUAUUGUCUAUUCCAUCUCACCCCUUCUCAGGAUGUAAGCUGUUUAAAGGCAAGGACCUUAUCUGUGUUACAUGCUGUAUUCCCAGGGCUCAGACAGAGCAUGACCUAUCGUAUGUACUAAAUAAAUAUCUCCUCAUACUGUAAA